rnacentral:rRNA from 1 species
GAAACGGCUGCUAAUACCGCAUAAGGCCACGGCAUUGAGUGAUGCAGUGGUAAAAGAAUCUAAUCGCACAAAGACGGACUCGCGUCCCAUUAGCUAGUUGGUAAGGUAACGGCUUACCAAGGCGACGAUGGGUAGCCGACCUGAGAGGGUGAUCGGCCACACUGGAACUGAGACACGGUCCAGACUCCUACGGGAGGCAGCAGUGGGGAAUAUUGGGCAAUGGGCGCAAGCCUGACCCAGCAACGCCGCGUGAGGGAAGAAUGUCUUCGGAUUGUAAACCUCUGUCCUUGGGGACGAAAAAAAUGACGGUACCCAAGGAGGAAGCUCCGGCUAACUACGUGCCAGCAGCCGCGGUAAUACGUAGGGAGCAAGCGUUGUCCGGAAUUAUUGGGCGUAAAGGGUGCGUAGGCGGUAGAUCAAGUCAGAUGUGAAAUUCCCAGGCUUAACUUGGGGCGUGCAUUUGAAACUGGUUUACUUGAGUAAAGAAGAGGUAAGUGGAAUUCCUAGUGUAGCGGUGGAAUGCGUAGAUAUUAGGAGGAACACCAGUGGCGAAGGCGACUUACUGGUCUUUUACUGACGCUGAGGC